AGCGAACGCUGGCGGCAGGCUUAACACAUGCAAGUCGAGCGGGCAUCUUCGGAUGUCAGCGGCAGACGGGUGAGUAACACGUGGGAACGUACCCUUCGGUUCGGAACAACUCUGGGAAACUGGAGCUAAUACCGGAUACGCCCUUAUGGGGAAAGGUUUACUGCCGAAGGAUCGGCCCGCGUCUGAUUAGCUAGUUGGUUGGGUAACGGCCUACCAAGGCGACGAUCAGUAGCUGGUCUGAGAGGAUGAUCAGCCACACUGGGACUGAGACACGGCCCAGACUCCUACGGGAGGCAGCAGUGGGGAAUAUUGGACAAUGGGCGCAAGCCUGAUACAGCCAUGCCGCGUGAGUGAUGAAGGCCUUAGGGUUGUAAAGCUCUUUUGUCCGGGACGAUAAUGACGGUACCGGAAGAAUAAGCCCCGGCUAACUUCGUG
rnacentral:rRNA from 1 species